GUCCACACAGUAAACGAUGAAUACUCGCUGUUUGCGAUAUAGUGUAAGCGGCCAAGCGAAAGCGUUAAGUAUUCCACCUGGGGAGUACGCCGGCAACGGUGAAACUCAAAGGAAUUGACGGGGGCCCGCACAAGCGGAGGAACAUGUGGUUUAAUUCGAUGAUACGCGAGGAACCUUACCCGGGCUUAAAUUGCAUUUGAAUAAUCAAGAAAUUGGUUAGUCGUAAGACAAAUGUGAAGGUGCUGCAUGGUUGUCGU
rnacentral:rRNA from 1 species